CCUCUCUGUUUGAUAGUAGAAAUUAUGAAUGGAGUUGUUUUCUUGUAGGAAAAUCCUACAAAUGCUGGAAUGACCAGAACAGACAAAUCCUUCCAUCUGGUGGAGUCUGCAGGGCAUGCUGCUACUCUCCAGUGCCGCACAACACGGAGUUCCCAGCAUCCAAAGGAACGUAGCCCUGAAAAAGGCAUCAAUUUCUGGCAACCACAAAGGUCAGCAGGGCCUGUGGAGAAUCCUCUGGACUGGGUAAGACCCAGCUACACCACCCUCCUGACCCCUGCCCCCCACCAGCACUUUUGGGGGCAGUGCCUACCAUCCAGGCAGUGUCAGAAUCCAAGGAUCCUCCAAAUCCAGCACAGAGGCAAAAGACCUUGGAGUUGUGUCGCUUCAUUCAGCCAUCCCUAAUACGACAGCUAUAUCUGGUGACCUCUGCCACUGGUUGCAACCAAGACUGAUGAACAGGAGACAACCUCCAUCCUCCAUUAAGAGAGGCCGAGUUCAAACAAUCCAAGUCCAGCUGUGGACGAUCUUGCUGAUGGAGUUACGGGAACUGUGACUUUCAGAUGUAUCAGCCCAGAGGUUUCCAGAGAUCCCAUUCUCAAGUCGUUACCGGGAUGAUCAUCUUCCAGGUGUCCCAGUAUUGGUUCCUGGAACAGCCCAUCUCCAGGCAAGCCACAUGUAUUCGAUUGUAAAUGAGACAUUGUCUGGCUUAGGUGGAACCCGAAUAUGGGGGUUGGUGGCUGGCCGCAGCACUGGUGUGUGCUUUUAUACUAAACUAAACAUUUGAUAUGUUGAAUCAUAUUUUCCACAUUUAAUAAACCAAUAUCUCAGAGGCACAAAUUAUAAUC